CCCGGCCUCGAACUCACAGAGAUCCACCUGCCUCUGCCUCCCGAGUGCUGGGAUUAAAGGCAUGCACCACCACCACCCGGCCCAGGACCUCUUUCUUACCAUGUAGAGACACACCUACUCGGCUUCACUGAUUUAAGUGUGUAAGAACUAGGAGGAGAAGAUCAAGUCUUUGCAAAUGUAACUAUUCUAGUCCUGAUUCCUUGGCUCAACUACUGAGAGCUCAUGAAGACUGUGAAUGACAACUCCAUUCCCUAGACAGGACACUGAGAACCCGGCAGGAGUAACACCCCUGAUGCCACAUAGCAUGCUGGGGCUUUAGCCCACAACCUCCAGCCAGCAGCCUGGAGCCUUCAGAAGUCAUCAGAGGCCACCUGAGAAGGCCUAGGCCAGGCCACAGAACUGGAGCCUGGCAUGUACAAGUUGACCACAUGUCCUGUCUCACAAGCAUCGUAGCUUUGGCUUUUCUGCGACACCUCCACUCGAUAAGCAUGACACAAGACUUCACAGAGGCACUAAUUUUAUAAAGACGCUGGUCGAAUCUCCCUGGAACUUAUUAUUGGUAGAAACAGUCACAAAAGUACACUCCCACUGUCUCAUAGCAAAGAGUUUCAGAGACUGACAGUCUUGAAGGUGAAGAUGCCAUUUCCACUUAUGAAAAGACAAUGCCACCUCGGUAUUGGUUCCUUCAGUGGUGACAAAGGACACCAUCUAUCAGACAUUACAACAAAUACAAACUCAGCAUCUUUUGGUAAGGGUGCAGACGGCUGGGUAAGAAGUUCACACUACAGGAGCACUUUGUCAAGUCAAGCUUUGCAGAACCACUUUGCAUGAUUCUGUUGUUGGAGUGGUGACCUGCCCCUGUCACAGCAGCACAUAGCAAAAUAGGGGAAUAGACCUCUAUAGCUUACUUUGAAGAUUUAUUUUUUUGUUUGUUUAAUGUCUAUGAAUGUUUGCCUAAAUGUAUGCCAUUGUUCACAGAGGUCAGAAGAGGGCAUUGAAUCCCCAUUGGACUAGAGUUACAGACAGUUAUGAACUGUUUUGUGGGUGUUAGGAAUUGAACUCGGGUCUUCUGGAAGAUCAACCAUUGUUCUAAGUCAUUGAGCCAUCUCUGCAGCCCAGAAGAUUUAUUUUGAUAAGUAUCCAGUAACACUUGAUUGUCAUCAGCUAUAUAAAAAAAAUUAAAAACCUGUGCCCAGAAUUGAAAAUUGUGCCUGUGAGCAUUUCUCCUAGCAUUAUGGCUCUUGGGAUGUACCUUUCUCCGAUAUAAUAACAUCAAACCAGGCCCUAAGACAUUCGUGGUAGAGCACACUGGUCACACCAUCACAAGAGUUCAAGACCAAUGGGCUACAUAGUGAGACCUUGUCUCAAAAGAAAGAAAACACAGACCAACAAAGGCAAAUGAAAAGAUAAAUGGAAUUUGGUAUCAGAUUUUCAAAUGAGGGAACCGUACCUUUCAACCAAGAUUGUAUUUAAAAAUGAAGCAUGUGGGGCAGGGCGGGCAACGAUGAGACAGCUCAGAAGGGAAAUAAGUUCGCCUCAAAAGCUCAAUCUGAGAUGAAUUCCCGGAACCGCCGUGGAAGGAGAGAACCAAGUCCUCAAAGCUGCCCUCUGACCUCCACAAGAGUGUAAAUAAAUGAAACAAAGCAAAUUUUAGUACUAAUGUAUUGGGACAAAAGAAAACGCUUUCUAUUGCCACCGAAUCAAAUGAAAAUAAAGCCAAAAUAUUAUUCAUUCUCUCA